rnacentral:lncRNA from 1 species
CUAACAUAUAGUAAUUGUUCAAAGAAUGUGCCUGUUAGAUAACUAGUAAGGAAACAGAAGGUAAGAAGUGACAUAUUAUUAGGUUUCAACUUAAAUGAGUUGCAUUUAAGACAUACUUCUAUUACAACUAAAUUCAAAAUAAGAAAAAGGAGAGAAGGAGCAGGAAUGAAGACUGAGAAAGGCAGUGAGUACACAGAGAAAAAAAGAAAAAAGAAUCAUUUGUACCCAGGAGAGUUUGCAAACUUCAAGCCACAAAUGAGCAGGGUUUUCAAAAUGUGAGAAAGAUUUGUGAGUUUCAAGUUGCAAAGAUGAAUGAAGGGAAGAGUAAAACUUUCCCAACCUUCCUGACUUUUUCAGAGUUGAAAAAGAAUUUAGGAGUAACAACCUGAUCCCACAAAGAUAAGUUCAUUUACCAUAAAUGAUUAGGCAUAUAUACAAUUUAGUGACAGGCAACAUGUUGCUACACCCUAGGACAAAAAUGUAGGACAGAAACAGCAAAUGGAAAAGUAGAAAGGAAUAUGAAUGGAUACUGAGCAUUCCCCAAAUCCACAGGUAUCUAAAAUUAACUUUGAAAGAAAUUACAGGAAAAAAAUUGACACUGGAACUCUGGAACUUUAAGAAAUCAUCUUUACGGGACCACAUUCAAAAACCUUAUUCUGACUCAGCAGAUUUUGGCUUCUACAUGUCCAUUACAUUCUAAAUUGAUUCCAAUGAUUCUGGUCUACAGACAACAUGAUUUUCUAUACAUGAACAGCUAUUGGUUCAUACAGUAGAGGACACAAACAGACUAAGUGCAAAUAUAAACCUUGCUUUAUUCUGAGCAUGUAUCUUGAGAACUAGGAGGGACUCCAAAGUCUUAGAUGAAGAAUUUGUAUUACUAAAAUAAAUUUGUUACAUUGGCAGGCAAGAAGGAGUGGCAAAAAUUCAUACAUAGAAUGUAAAAUGGAAGAGCUAGGAAGAAAGGAAAAUGAGGGAAGUACAAAGAAUUUACAUAAGAAAUAUGAGGAAAUGGAGAGCAUGUUACUCCGCUCUUUUCAGUUUGUCUGCUUUCAAAUUAUAUCUGGUGUAGAGACAAUUGAAACUAGUGGGGAUUCAAAGAUUCAGGACAACAUACAGCUACCAAUUUCUCUUCUCUGUAUCUAGUAGGCACCACAAUAUAUGGGGCAUCCAUGUGUGUUACUCGGGUGAACAACAUUACAUUUUUGAAGAAUUUGUUGUUUUAAAGAAGGCUAAUAUUUCUAUUCAUAUUGAUCUUAUUAUUAUCCUUAAUAUGUUUGUUUUCAUCAUUAUUUUAUUGUUGUUAGGUUGAAAAACCAAUUCCAUGGCAUGCCAGGAAUGCAUGACAUUACUGAGAUAAAUUCUGAAAUCUAGAGUGCCAAUGUUGUGAUGAACCAGAACUUUUGUGCAAAUACUUUCCUCAAAUAUCAACACUGUUACUCUGAAUGUAUUUACCAAUUUCUUUAAAACACAAUAGUUUAUUAAUAUCUGAUAAUUCUGCAAGCUUUCAGAACAGUUUUCCUUUUGGAUUGUCUUGUCUGAACUCUUUAUGCUUUAUAAUAAAUACAUUGUCUGCAUAGUUGUGGGACCACUAUAUUCACACAAGAGAGGAAAAAUAAAGUUAAUGUUGGUUAAAACAGAUGAUGAAGGUAAUAAAGAGGCACCAGUUUCCCACAUGGGUAUGAAUCACAUAUCUAUGUAUAUUAGCUGUUAUUGUAAACACUAUAUCUGAGCUAAUUAGGUAAGAAAACUCUCAGAUGAGCAAAAAAUAUAGCUUCCCCCAGAAUCUCAACACAAUAUCGAACUUGUUAAUUAUAAGGUAAAUGAAGGACAGGAAACAUAUUUAGAAUAAAAUGGAUUCAAUGAUUCUGAUAUAAUUCACUCAAGAUAUCUGCUGCCAUAUUUCCAAUUCAGCUUUGACAUUGAACUUCUAAAGGUCCUUCUUACCUCCUCUGAAUAAGGAUCACUGUGCUCUCCAGCAUUAUGCAUCUUGAAUUGUUGAAUAUAUUAAUGUUUUUGUAUAAAUGGUCAUUGCAAAAUUGAUUUUACCUUUGAAAACUUAAAUAAAAAUUUUUCUAAACACAUA